rnacentral:rRNA from 1 species
AGAACGAACGCUGGCGGCNCGCCUAAUACAUGCAAGUCGAGCGAGAAGGUGUAGCAAUACACUUGUAAAGCGGCGAACGGGGUGAGGAAUACAUGGGUAAUCUACCAUCGAUGGGGAAUAACCAGCCGAAAGGUUGGCUAAUACCGCGUACGCUUCCGAGUCUUCGGGCUUGGAAGGAAAGCCGCACUGUGAGUGCGGCGCUCUUUGAUGAGCUCAUGUCCUAUCGGCUUGUUGGUAGGGUAACGGCCUACCAAGGCUUUGACGGGUAGCUGGUCUGAGAGGACGAUCAGCCACACUGGCACUGCGACACGGGCCAGACUCCUACGGGAGGCAGCAGUAAGGAAUAUUGCGCAAUGGGCGAAAGCCUGACGCAGCGACGCCGCGUGGGGGAUGAAGGUCUUCGGAUUGUAAACCCCUUUCGGGAGGGAAGAUGGAGCGAGCAAUCGUUCGGACGGUACCUCCAGAAGCAGCCACGGCCAACUUCGUG